GACGAACGCUGGCGGCGUGCUUAACACAUGCAAGUCGAACGGAAAGGCCCUGCUUUUGUGGGGUGCUCGAGUGGCGAACGGGUGAGUAACACGUGAGUAACCUGCCCUUGACUUUGGGAUAACUUCAGGAAACUGGGGCUAAUACCGGAUAGGAGCUCCUGCUGCAUGGUGGGGGUUGGAAAGUUUCGGCGGUUGGGGAUGGACUCGCGGCUUAUCAGCUUGUUGGUGGGGUAGUGGCUUACCAAGGCUUUGACGGGUAGCCGGCCUGAGAGGGUGACCGGCCACAUGGGGACUGAGAUACGGCCCAGACUCCUACGGGAGGCAGCAGUGGGGAAUAUUGCACAAUGGGCGGAAGCCUGAUGCAGCAACGCCGCGUGCGGGAUGACGGCCUUCGGGUUGUAAACCGCUUUCGCCUGUGACGAAGCGUGAGUGACGGUAAUGGGUAAAGAAGCACCGGCUAACUACGUG
rnacentral:rRNA from 1 species